AUUGAACGCUGGCGGCAUGCCUUACACAUGCAAGUCGAACGGCCGCACGGGUGCUUGCACCUGGUGGCGUUUGCCGCACAGGGGUGAAAUACACGUGGACAACCCCUCUAGUGGACUGGAGUAACUUCAAGGCCCGGUAGCUACUGCCUACUAAUAUCGUAUGCAGCCGGGGUCCAUACUGAAAGCGGGUUUUGCGGUUGGUCGUUGGUUGAUUAGCUCGUUGGUGGGGUAAAGGCCUACCAAGGCGACGACCAGUAGCUGGUCUGUGAGGAAGAUCAGCCAAACUGGGACUGAGACACGGCCCAGACUCCUACGGGAGGCAGCAGUGGGGAAUUUUGGACAAUGGGCGAAAGCCUGAUCCAGCAAUGCCGCGUGUGUGAAGAAGGCCUUCGGGUUGUAAAGCACUUUUGUCCGGAAAGAAAUACUUGGCCCUAAUACGGUCGGGGGAUGACGGUACCGGAAGAAUAAGCACCGGCUAACUACGUG
rnacentral:rRNA from 1 species